UGAGAGAAGUGGUGACAAUGUCGAGAAGUAGGGAUGUGAACCACAGAGGACCAGCUUCAUUUUGAUGUAUGAUACAAGUUCCUUUGUUGGUAAUUAUAACUGUCCUAAACAAAAUUGCAUUACUUUUUGACUCACCCUCGUAU